rnacentral:misc_RNA from 1 species
AAGUCGUAACAAGGUUUCCGUAGGUGAACCUGCGGAAGGAUCAUUAACACGUAUCCAACGUUAAACCCCCCCUGUGAACUUUUACUCUUGCCCCGAGGCUCGUCCCAAAUUGCAAUCCCUGGUAAAUCAUUGUUGAACAGAUUUUGAUUCAGGGACCUCAGUUUGUGACUUGAUUAGUUGAGCGAUCGUGCGCAAGUGGCCUGGUUUCCCCAAGCAGUCAGUGUCUGAAAGUGCCAUUGAUUGUGUAAGGAUAACGCUUAACGAUCACUAGAGGCCGACACCGGCCGGUGACCAGGUUGCAGUGGCUUCACGGCCCCAUAUUUACCCCACCAACUAUCAAACCCGCCCUAAUGGAAACUGUGGGCGUUACAAAACUUGAACAACUGUUAACAAUGGAUAUCUUGGUUCUC